GGGCGAUUAGCUCAGUUGGUUAGAGCGCACGGAUCACACCCGUGAGGCCACAGGUUCAAAUCCUGUACCGCCCA
rfam:Planctomycetes bacterium GWC2_45_44 gwc2_scaffold_4546, whole genome shotgun sequence.